rnacentral:rRNA from 1 species
ACUGAUGGGCUUGAAUCCAUUUGAAGUGGGCGGAAUAAGACAAGUAGCGGUGAAAUGCAUAGAUAUGUCUUAGAACUCCGAUUGCGAAGGCAGCUCACUAAGCUGGUAUUGACGCUGAUGCACGAAAGCGUGGGGAUCGAACAGGAUUAGAUACCCUGGUAGUCCACGCCCUAAACGAUGAUAACUCGAUGUUGGCGAUAGACAGCCAGCGUCUUAGCGAAAGCGUUAAGUUAUCCACCUGGGGAGUACGCCCGCAAGGGUGAAACUCAAAGGAAUUGACGGGGGCCCGCACAAGCGGAGGAGCAUGUGGUUUAAUUCGAUGAUACGCGAGGAACCUUACCCGGGCUUGAAAGUUAGUGAAGAGACCAGAGACGGUCUCGUCCUUCGGGACACGAAACUAGGUGCUGCAUGGCUGUCGUCAGCUCGUGCCGUGAGGUGUUGGGUUAAGUCCCGCAACGAGCGCAACCCCUAUGUUUAGUUGCCAGCAUGUAAUGGUGGGGACUCUAAACAGACUGCCUGUGCAAACAGUGAGGAAGGUGGGGACGACGUCAAGUCAUCAUGGCCCUUACGUCCGGGGCUACACACGUGCUACAAUGGAUGGUACAGCGGGCAGCUACAUAGCAAUAUGAUGCUAAUCUCUAAAAGCCAUUCACAGUUCGGAUUGGGGUCUGCAACUCGACCCCAUGAAGUUGGAUUCGCUAGUAAUCGCGUAUCAGCAAUGACGCGGUGAAUACGUUCCCGGGCCUUGUACACACCGCCCGUCAAGCCAUGAAAGUUGGGGGUACCUAAAGCAUGUGACCGCAAGGAGCGUGUUAG